rnacentral:lncRNA from 1 species
GGCAAACCACAGAAGAGUUCAGGCACCUGAGCCAAGAGAUUGAAACCAUGAUAUCUGAAGUAUUCAAGGGAUCCUUUCUAAGUAAAAGGUACAUCAGAUCCCAUGUUGUUAGUCUAAGCCCAGAUCCUGGUGGAGUUCUUGCAUCUGUUGUUCUGGUAUUUAAAUUUGCCACAGCUGACAGUAAGGCAGCAAGCUGGGGCCACGUCAACCGUGUAUUACGCAGAAGGCUGAAAACAAGCUCUAAGUUCUUGAAUGUU